rnacentral:rRNA from 1 species
CACGUAGGGGGCAAGCGUUGUCCGGAUUUAUUGGGCGUAAAGAGCUCGUAGGUGGUUCGGUAAGUCGGGUGUUAAACCCCCAGGCUCAACCUGGGGACGCCACUCGAUACUGCUGUGACUAGAGUCCGGUAGGGGAGCGUGGAAUUCCUGGUGUAGCGGUGAAAUGCGCAGAUAUCAGGAGGAACACCAGCGGCGAAGGCGGCGCUCUGGGCCGGUACUGACACUGAGAAGCGAAAGCAUGGGGAGCGAACAGG